UACGGAGGGUGCAAGCGUUAUCCGGAUUUACUGGGUUUAAAGGGUGCGUAGGUGGGUCUGUAAGUCAGUGGUGAAAUCUCCGGGCUUAACCCGGAAACUGCCAUUGAUACUAUAGAUCUUGAAUAUCCUGGAGGUGAGCGGAAUAUGUCAUGUAGCGGUGAAGUGCUUAGAUAUGACAUAGAACACCAAUUGCGAAGGCAGCUCACUACGGGAUUAUUGACACUGAGGCACGAAAGCGUGGGGAUCAAACAGG
rnacentral:rRNA from 1 species